GACGAACGCUGGCGGCGUGCUUAACACAUGCAAGUCGAACGGAAAGGCCUUGCUUUUGUGGGGUGCUCGAGUGGCGAACCGGUGUGUAACACGGGAGUAACCUGCGCUUGACUUUGGGACAACUUCAGGAGACUGGGGCUAAUACCGGAUAGGAAUUCCUGCUGCGUGGUGGGGGAUGGAUAGUUUAGUCGGUUGGGGAUGGACUCGCGGCUUAUCAGCUUGUUGGGGGGGUAGUGUUUGACCAAGGCUUUGACGGGUAGCCGGCCAGCGAGGGUGGGCGGCCACAUUGGGAUUGAGAUGAGACCCAGACUCAUACGGGAGGCAACAGUGGGGAAUAUUACACAACAGGCGGAAGCCAGCUGCAGCAACGCCGCGUGCGGGAUGACGACCUUCGGGUUGUAAACCGCUUUCGCCUGUGACGAAGCGUGAGUGACGGUAAUGGGUAAAGAAGCACCGGCUAACUACGUG
rnacentral:rRNA from 1 species